UACAGAGGUCUCAAGCGUUGUUCGGAUUCAUUGGGCGUAAAGGGUGCGUAGGUGGCGUCGUAAGUCAGGUGUGAAAUCUCGGGGCUUAACUCCGAAAACUGCAUUUUGAUACUGCGGUGCUUGAGGACUGGAGAGGAGACUGGAAAUUUACGGUGUAGCAGUGAAAAUGCGUAGAGAUCGUAAGGAAGACCAGUGGCGAAGGCGGGUCUCUGGGACAGUUCCUGACACUGAGGCACGAAGGCCAGGGGGAGCAAAACGGGG
rnacentral:rRNA from 1 species